UAACUACUCUCUCCAUCCGAAAAUACUUGUCAUCAAAAUGAAUAAAAAAGGAUGUAUCUAGAUGUAUUUUAAUUCUACAUACAUCCUUUUUUAUCCAUUUUGAUGACAAGUAUUUCCGGACGGAGCUCGUUUCAA
rfam:Triticum aestivum genome assembly, contig: Triticum_aestivum_CS42_TGACv1_scaffold_328739_4BS